UCCCUGGUGGUUUAGUGGUUAGCACUUGGUGCUUUUACCCUUAUAACCCAGGUUCAAUUCCUGGUCUAGGAA
rnacentral:tRNA from 1 species